rnacentral:tRNA from 2 species
CCCCCCGUAGCUCAGUGGUAGAGCAGCUCCCUUUUAAGGAGUUGAUGUUGGUUCGAUUCCAACCGGGGGGA